UGGGGAAUAUUGCACAAUGGGGGAAACCCUGAUGCAGCGACGCCGCGUGGAGGAAGAAGGUCUUCGGAUUGUAAACUCCUGUUGUUGAGGAAGAUAAUGACGGUACUCAACAAGGAAGUGACGGCUAACUACGUGCCAGCAGCCGCGGUAAAACGUAGGUCACAAGCGUUGUCCGGAAUUACUGGGUGUAAAGGGAGCGCAGGCGGGCGAUCAAGUUGGAAGUGAAAUCCAUGGGCUCAACCCAUGAACUGCUUUCAAAACUGUUUUUCUUGAGUAGUGCAGAGGUAGGCGGAAUUCCCGGUGUAGCGGUGGAAUGCGUAGAUAUCGGGAGGAACACCAGUGGCGAAGGCGGCCUACUGGGCACCAACUGACGCUGAGGCUCGAAAGUGUGGGUAGCAAACAGGAUUAGAUACCCUGGUAGUCCACACUGUAAACGAUGAUUACUAGGUGUUGGAGGAUUGACCCCUUCAGUGCCGCAGUUAACACAAUAAGUAAUCCACCUGGGGAGUACGACCGCAAGGUUGAAACUCAAAGGAAUUGACGGGGGCCCGCACAAGCAGUGGAGUAUGUGGUUUAAUUCGACGCAACGCGAAGAACCUUACCAAGUCUUGACAUCCUGCGACGGUGCUGGAAACAGAACUUUCCUUCGGGACGCAGAGACAGGUGGUGCAUGGUUGUCGUCAGCUCGUGUCGUGAGAUGUUGGGUUAAGUCCCGCAACGAGCGCAACCCUUAUGGUCAGUUACUACGCAAGAGGACUCUGGCCAGACUGCCGUUGACAAAACGGAGGAAGGUGGGGAUGACGUCAAAUCAUCAUGCCCUUUAUGACUUGGGCUACACACGUACUACAAUGGCGUUAAACAAAGAGAAGCAAGACCGCGAGGUGGAGCAAAACUCAGAAACAACGUCCCAGUUCGGACUGCAGGCUGCAACUCGCCUGCACGAAGUCGGAAUUGCUAGUAAUCGCAGAUCAGCAUGCUGCGGUGAAUACGUUCCC
rnacentral:rRNA from 1 species